AAUCCAUGAAGAGGACAUUUUUGAAGUAAUUAUUUAAAUAAUUCCUAAGCUUCAUAUAACGUUUCAUCCUUCAAUUUUCGAAAAGAUGUGAUGUCAUUUUUAAGCUU
rnacentral:snoRNA from 1 species